AGAGUUUGAUCCUGGCUCAGAAUCAACGCUGGCGGCGCGCUUAACACAUGCAAGUCGCACGAGAAAGUGGAGCAAUCCAUGAGUACAGUGGCGUACGGGUGAGUAACACGUGGGUAAUCUACCUCUUAGUGGGGAAUAACCCUGGGAAACCGGGGCUAAUACCGCAUAAGCCUGAGAAGGGAAAGCAGCAAUGCGCUGAGAGAGGAGCCCGCGGCCGAUUAGCUAGUUGGCAGGGUAAGAGCCUACCAAGGCAGAGAUCGGUAGCCGGCCUGAGAGGGCACACGGCCACACUGGCACUGAAACACGGGCCAGACUCCUACGGGAGGCAGCAGUGGGGAAUCUUGCACAAUGGGGGAAACCCUGAUGCAGCGACGCCGCGUGAGCGAUGAAGCCCUUCGGGGUGUAAAGCUCUUUCGGCAGGGAAGAUGAUGACGGUACCUGCAGAAGCAGCUGCGGCUAACUACGUGCCAGCAGCCGCGGUAAUACGUAGGCAGCGAGCGUUGUUCGGAGUUACUGGGCGUAAAGGGUGUGUAGGCGGUUCUUUAAGUUUGGUGUGAAAUCUCCCGGCUUAACCGGGAGGGUGCGCCGAAUACUGAGGGACUUGGAGUGCGGGAGAGGAAAGUGGAAUUCCUGGUGUAGCGGUGAAAUGCGUAGAUAUCAGGAGGAACACCGGUGGUGUAGACGGCUUUCUGGACCGUAACUGACGCUGAGACACGAAAGCGUGGGUAGCAAACAGGAUUAGAUACCCUAGUAGUCC
rnacentral:rRNA from 1 species